rnacentral:misc_RNA from 1 species
GCAUCAUCUCAUCCAUUCUGGAAGAACCACAAACAAUGAGAACAAGAGCAUGUAUUAUUGUUAACGGUUCACAGCAUCUUAUCUACUAAGGAGAGUUUAGUUGCAGAGAUAUAAGCUCCUAAAGGACACAAUAUUGACGGAAAAGGGCCAAAUUUUGCAAGAUACAAAAUAAGAUAAAAUAAAAAGAAGAAAAUAAAAUAACACUAUUGAGAUUUUAUAUCAAAAUGUUAAGAAAGUUUAUGUUUGAUAUCAACAAAGAAAAUUUGUGAUAUAAUGAAAUGAAAUUGUUAAUGUUAUCUGAGACAAUGCAAGACAAAUGCAAGUUAAAAUAUGGCUUGACAUUACAACAAAGGAUUAAAAUGAAAAAUGCCAGCAUCAUCGAUGGGAAUAACCACAUGAAUGAUGGUCACUUGGAAACACCUGGUCAUCCAGGAACAUACUUAAAAUACACUGCCAAGGGGGGAAAACAUGAAGAAGGACCCUCCAGUAAUUAAAUG